rnacentral:rRNA from 1 species
CGGGUGCACUGAUCCAGCCGGGCCUUUCCCUCUGUGGAACCCCAUGGCCUUCACUGGCUGUGGCGGGGAAACAGGACUUUUACUUUGAAAAAAUUAGAGUGCUCCAGGCAGGCCUAUGCUCGAAUACAUUAGCAUGGAAUAAUAGAAUAGGACGUGUGGUUCUAUUUUGUUGGUUUCUAGGACCGCCGUAAUGAUUAAUAGGGACAGUCGGGGGCAUCAGUAUUCAAUUGUCAGAGGUGAAAUUCUUGGAUCUAUUGAAGACUAACUACUGCGAAAGCAUUUGCCAAGGAUGUUUUCAUUGAUAAGGAACGAAAGUUAGGGGAUCGAAGACGAUCAGAUACCGUCGUAGUCUUAACUAUAAACUAUGCCGACUAGGGAUCGGACGAUGUUAUUCUUUGACGCGUUCGGCACCUUUCGAGAAAUCAAAGUGCUUGGGCUCCAGGGGGAGUAUGGUCGCAAGGCUGAAACUUAAAGAAAUUGACGGAAGGGCACCACCAGGGGUGGAACCUGCGGCUUAAUUUGACUCAACACGGGGAAACUCACCAGGUCCAGACACAGUGAGGAUUGACAGGUUGAGAGCUCUUUCUUGAUUCUGUGGGUGGUGGUGCAUGGCCGUUCUUAGUUGGUGGAGUGAUUUGUCUGCUUAAUUGCGAUAACGAACGAGACCUUAACCUGCUAAAUAGCCCGUACUGCUUUGGCAGUUCGCCGGCUUCUUAGAGGGACUAUCGG